rnacentral:rRNA from 1 species
CCUACGGGAGGCAGCAGUGAGGAAUAUUGGUCAAUGGACGAGAGUCUGAACCAGCCAAGUAGCGUGAAGGAUGACUGCCCUAUGGGUUGUAAACUUCUUUUGUAGAGGAAUAAAACGAGGCACGUGUGCCUUUUUGCAAGUACUUUAUGAAUAAGGAUCGGCUAACUCCGUGCCAGCAGCCGCGGUAAUACGGAGGAUCCGGGCGUUAUCCGGAUUUAUUGGGUUUAAAGGGAGCGUAGAUGGGUUGUUAAGUCAGUUGUGAAAGUUUGCGGCUCAACCGUAAAAUUGCAAUUGAUACUGGCAGGCUGGAGUACAGUUGAGGUAGGCGGAAUUCGUGGUGUAGCGGUGAAAUGCUUAGAUAUCACGAAGAACCCCGAUUGCGAAGGCAGCUUACUAAACUGUGACUGACAUUGAUGCUCGAAAGUGUGGGUAUCAAACAGGAUUAGAUACCCGAGUAGUC